UACGGAGGGAGCUAGCAUUGUUCGGAAUUACUGGGCGUAAAGCGCGCGUAGGCGGCUUUGUAAGUCAGAGGUGAAAUCCCGGAGCUCAACUCCGGAACUGCCUUUGAGACUGCAUCGCUUGAAUCCGGGAGAGGUGAGUGGAAUUCCGAGUGUAGAGGUGAAAUUCGUAGAUAUUCGGAAGAACACCAGUGGCGAAGGCGGCUCACUGGACCGGUAUUGACGCUGAUGUGCGAAAGCGUGGGGAGCAAACAGG
rnacentral:rRNA from 1 species